rfam:Bacteroidetes bacterium GWA2_32_17 gwa2_scaffold_17277, whole genome shotgun sequence.
GGGGCUGAACUGGUUUUGACAGCAAGAGUAUGGGUUUGUAAGCAUGCCGAGCCUUGGGAUUUAACGCUCGUAAAAGUGAAUUCCUAUGUCAAUAAUUGACAACAAUAAUUUCGCUCUCGCAGCUUAAUCGUUUAACGAUUAUUGCUUAAUCCAGUCUGCCAGGCAGAUAUGGACGAGUGCUCCGCAGAAAUUUCUCCUCGCUGUUUCUGUAUAUGGAGUAUCGAAUCGCUGGGAUAGCAAAGGUAAGUUCCGAUACCUGAGCGAAACUUAAGGGACUAAGGUAAAUGUAGGUUUUGUUUUGCCGGCACUUACUCUAAAAUCAAUAAAACAAUAAGCAUGUAGAAAGCAUUUUGGUGCCUUGUUUGGACCCGGGUUCGAAUCCCGGCAGCUCCACUA